CAUCAUACAAUAUUUUUUUCCUAGUCAACAAUAGAUUAACCCUAAAAAAACCAGAAAACAAUAGAUGUACCGUACUGAUUCAUGUAAGUAAUCAAUUUAGUGUAUUUCCGCCUAAUAUUCAGUUUUCUACUUUAAGAGUUGUGCAGUUUGGCAACAUGACAUUGUGUUAAACAAUAACUUCUAACAAGUAAUUCCAUCAAAUCAAAGUAAUGGUUGUCAAUGCCAUAUUGGCUGUCAGUCAUAUGAACCUGUACAUUUAAAGUGUGGAGAGCACUAAACUCCGACUUGACCACGUUGAUGAUCACCUGCACAGGGCACAUGCGCCUUGCUGAAUGGGUAUUCUGGGACCGCCGGAUGGCUUCCUCUGCCCCUACCAUGAUAUCUACAACACCUUGAGAUGCUAUAACAAGUCCCCCGUUGUCUUUCCGCUUCAGCAGGUGAUACAAAAAAUUAUAGCACUUACCUGUGAAAUGUUACGCCUCCUUCCUUCGUAGACUCAUUCGGCAGUUGGCAGUUGAAACCCGCACAAUGACCCGGCAUUUUGCAAAAACUUUGUUCACAUGCAUGCACUGCAGCAGUGACUAGACCUCACCAAGAUGGCGGUGCUCUCAUCCCACAAGGAAUCAUGUCAUGUCGCCUCUAGCGAUAGAACUCAUUGGUUAAAACCCUCUCUGGUGAGACCAGCAGAGGGGGCUGGACUGAUCAGAGGAUUUUCUUCAGAAGGACGCUCUUCCACGGAUCACUCUGCUUCUCCCCAUCAACAUGUCAUCUGUGCUUCAGAACAGCUGAUGCAGGGGCUUCUGGGUAGGAAGGCCACCGGGUUUUGUUACCAACAGUAUCUGGACAAAUGUCAGCUGAAGUAGACACACACCUGAUCAAGCCCAGUCGGACAUUUUUGGAUGGAUAUGCGAGUAGAGACGCUGUUAUCAGGGCAGCGAUGGGGGGCAAUGGUUCGCUGCUGCCCCAACGGACCGUCAGCAGUAAUGAGUGAUGAGCGCAGGCAUCCCGUCUCAGCGCUCCUCUUUACUGGUAGGGUGCUUCCAUGCCCCGCCCCCCUCCACCCAACACAGUGAAGAUCAAGCCAAACAUUUAGGCUCAAACUUACCCAGCUUUCUCUCCAUCCGGGGGGCCAUGCAUCCAUCCUGUAGUCACACCAUGUAUCCCCCCACCCCACAGAUCUGUUCUAAUGAACUUCCAACAUGAAGGAAAGACGGACUGUGGGGGCAUUUACAGGAGCAGGAAGUUUACAGACAUGAGAGGAGUCCGCUCAAAGCUAACUGAAUCAACCAUCUCUGUUAAACAUUAAAGAAAACCUCACAUUA